rnacentral:rRNA from 1 species
GACGUAGGGCGCGAGCGUUGUCCGGAUUUAUUGGGCGUAAAGCGCUCGUAGGCGGCUCGUUGCGUCAACCGUGAAAACCCGGGGCUUAACUUCGGGCUUGCGGUUGAUACGGGCGGGCUGGAGUUCGGUAGGGGAGACUGGAAUUCCUGGUGUAGCGGUGAAAUGCGCAGAUAUCAGGAGGAACACCGGUGGCGAAGGCGGCAUCCUGGACCGGCAUUGACGCUGAGGAGCGAAAGCCAGGGGAGCAAACGGG